UGUUUCUAUUUUUUUUUUUUUUUUGCUUGUAAUAUGAGCUGUUUCUAGCGAUGACCUUUUACAUGCUGUCUGUGUCCUUUGCUUUCUCAUGUUAGCUGGUUACCUGCCACUUCAUUAUUGCCAGUGGACCAACGUCAAUGGAAAACCAUCUCGAUGCUACAUAUCAGCUCGCCACCACACCACCAACAGCCUUUGUCGCUGGUUUGGUGGUAUGAACUGGGAGCUGUUACCACUGUGUGCAGUUCUUACUGGUAAUGACUACGCAACUCCUAAGGGACUGAGAUGCUGCUUUCUCUGAUAAACUCUCACGCAGGCAGCAGUGGCGGAAGACGUACAGGUGGAUCAUCUAGUUCUCGCAUCGAGGGUCUCCUCAUUUGGCUGUCCUCUUUUUCCAACGUGGCAGAGGCUCUUGAAGAGGUGAGCAGGGUUAUGGGGGAGGAAGGCAGUGGAAGAAAGAGAGGAAAGAACACUGAAAAAACUGGAAAAGUGGGGGUUUUCGAUUUACAAAUACUAAAUAUGAACAAAUUAUGUUAAUCUUCGAAACAUAAUAUAAUCUUGAAAAUCACACAUAAUUCUUGCUGUGUUACCUUUAUAUAUUUAAAUCAUGUUGACAAAACAUGAAAUAGUUAUGCUUGAUCCUUUGCCCCUUAAAUUUGGAUAAGUAAACCCCAUAUGUCAAGAAGCAUUCCAGGAGGAGAAACUUUGCAGUCAGCCAUUUUAGAGAAGCUGCAUGGCUGGAGGAACUUGUUAAAGGCGCAGCCCUCGACGGCAGGUAGGGGGAGGUGUGCACGGUAUGUUGGACUUCCACGUCGCAGGCAGAUUCAGCUGUAAACGCGGUGAUUUCCAAUGAUGUGCGGGGAAGAGUGAGCUCAUCGCACACUACCAACUGUCCUCCCUGAUGCUGGGGUCCAUGCUCCAGUCUUCACUGAGUCAGACUGCUGACCUUCUCGCCAAUAUAUGCAAGUGCAGGGGUUUAUUCAAAGUACAGAAUGAAGACAAUGCAGCAAUCCAGGAGGCAAUUGAGGACACCACGGUGGGAAUUUCCCUCCUAAUGGAAUGUGGCAGUGGUGGGGAAGAGGACAUUCUCGUGGUCCACAUCUCCCAGGCUGUGGUGGUCAACCCACCAAGUGUCAGAGUGGCAGUUGCCAUGCUGCUUGGCCUUAUUUACAACAUAAAUCUGGAUUACCCUCCUCAUCUCAGAAACACCUUUGAGCUUCUACUGCAGAAAAGCAAGAAAGAGCAACUCAAGGAAGAGGUGGAGGCAAUCCAUUUGGGAGAACUAAAGGAGGAAGAGGGCAGGGAGGCAGCGGUCAGUCCGGCACUGAACAGAUGGGCUUUAGGGCAGCAAGUACAGAAGUGAUUUUGGUUGAAGAGUAGGACCGUUUGGACGUAAACCUGAAAAGAAAACAAGUGGAGGCAUGCAACCCCAGGAAGCAUGCACAUGUAAACAAACUCUGCCAGGGGCCUGAGGCUGAGCGGCUCGGUGGCCUGUUGGAUGUUCUGGUCGUGAACGACUCCGUCCUGGCUCCUGUUCCUGCCCACCUGCGGCUGGCAAUGGCAGUCACGGGAAGCAGUACCACCACCUUCACAAAACGUGCUGCAGGCUUUGGUUCUGGGCAUGAUCUUUGGUGAGCUGUCACUAAAUAGCCAGUCUGGAGCUCCUCAACACCGCCAUGCUGGUUAGUUAAGCCAAUUUUGUUCUUUUAAGUUUCAAAUUUACUUGCAAUUUAUCUUCCAUAAGUGAAAACAGGCAAAAGACUUUUAUGAACUGUAUAUGCCAGCCCCACAGCAUAACUGUACUGCACAGCGAAAUCUAAUAAAUCGACAACGAGUGAGACCAGGGGAGAGACGAGGAGUUGAUUUUGGGGCAGCCCACAGUAACACCAGACAGUUGCAUUCCUUCUUAUUGUUCAUUUUGUACAUUUUUUUUAAAUAUAAGGAUGUAGUAUACUCUACUAUUUUCAUGUUGUAUCAUAUUUUUACAUAAGAAAAAAAUAUUCACAGGGGCUAUCAAGUGUGGCAUUCGAAUAGCUUGACACAAGGCAGGAUGGAUCCAUGCUUUGAUGUUGUUGACGCCAAAUUCUGAUGCUACCAUCCAAAUGUCCCCUAAUAAUUAAUGAAUGAUGCUGUAACGGGGGAUCGGGGGAGACAAGGACCAGGAGCAGGAAGAAAAGACACCGAUCCAAAAUCCAAGUAGAGGGCUUUAAUGCCAAGAGCUAAACCAACUCGAAAAGGAGUAUAGGAAGAAAACGAUCUGUCACAGCACCUCAGAAACUUGAUCCUGAAAUAGAAUAAAAUGAUAAUGAAUCAAAUGAAACACACCUGUGAUUCUCUCAGGACCUCAAGAAGGGGAGGACCUCCAGGAGAGAUCACAGCAGAACAAAAGUCAGGCCUUCACAUGACAGAUGCCUGAUAAAGUGGCCAGAUUUUCAGUGGUUCUUUGGUACAUGGCCUCCUGAUGUACCUGAAAGGUGGCAAGCCUGCAGAGUCGCUGCUAACUGAGGGGUCAUUCUGCUGGAUGAUGUGAGGAACUGCAACAUCAGAGCGAAUCCUCGCUCUUCAGCAUCCAACAAGAGAGGAAGAGGCAGAAGAGGACGACAGAGAGGUGGAAGAGGGGCUCUUGGUGGGGGUAGAGGUGGAGAAGAGAUCAGCAACAGUACAGGAGUGAGUGACCACGGGAGCAUUUCGGGCAGGCAACUCAGGCAGGCGUUUACUACGGUCUCUCCCCUAGGGUGGUUCAGUUAAUCAAACUCACCUGUUCAGCAUCCUAUUUAAGUCCAGGUGUGGAAGUUGUUUAUCCUUCUUUACUGCAGCACUGUGUUCUUCGGAAUGUGAAAUGGCAAUUAUAAAGGAACGUUAAAUGCUAACUAAGAGGAAUGUGAAAUGUUUACCUAAAGGAAAGAGAAUGUCAAACAAAGAAUGUGAACGCAAAUGAAAAGAUGUGAAAUAAAUAUUUUAUUGCAUGA